UGCCGUUUAAGCCGGAGGAAGGCGGGGAUGACGUCAAGUCAUCAUGCCCCUUAUGUCCUGGGCUGCACACGUGCUACAAUGGCCGGUACAAUGGGCUGCGAUACCGCGAGGUGGAGCGAAUCCCAUAAAACCGACCCCAGUUCGGAUCGAAGGCUGCAACUCGCCUUCGUGAAGUCGGAGUUGCUAGUAAUCGCGGAUCCGCAUGCCGCGGUGAAUACGUUCCCGGGCCUU
rnacentral:rRNA from 1 species